rnacentral:rRNA from 1 species
UACGUAGGGGGCAAGCGUUGUCCGGAUUUAUUGGGCGUAAAGAGCGUGUAGGCGGCUAUACAGGUCCGCUGUGAAAACUCGAGGCUCAACCUCGAGAUGUCGGCUGAAACCAUCUGGCUAGAGUCCGGAAGAGGAGAAUGGAAUUCCCGGUGUAGCGGUGAAAUGCGCAGAUAUCGGGAAGAACACCCGUGGCGAAGGCGGUUCUCUGGGACGGUACUGACGCUGAGACGCGAAAGCGUGGGGAGCGAACAGG